rnacentral:rRNA from 1 species
GAUGAACGCUGGCGGCGUGCCUAACACAUGCAAGUCGAGCGGAGAUUUCCGGAGUACUUGUACAAAGGAGAUCUUAGCGGCGGACGGGUGAGUAACACGUGAGCAAUCUGCCUUUCACAGGGGAAUAACACUGGGAAACCAGUGCUAAUACCGCAUGAUGUCCAUGCCUGGCAUCGGGGAUGGACCAAAGGAGAAAUCCGGUGAAAGAUGAGCUCGCGUCCGAUUAGGUAGGUGGUGAGGUAACGGCCCACCAAGCCUACGAUCGGUAGCCGGACUGAGAGGUUGAACGGCCACAUUGGGACUGAGACACGGCCCAGACUCCUACGGGAGGCAGCAGUGGGGAAUAUUGGGCAAUGGGGGAAACCCUGACCCAGCAACGCCGCGUGAAGGAUGAAGGCUUUCGGGUUGUAAACUUCUUUGAUCAGGGACGAAUAAAUGACGGUACCUGAGGAACAAGCCACGGCUAACUACGUGCCAGCCGCCGCGGUAA